UAGCCUACGGGGGGCAGCAGUAGGGAAUCUUCCACAAUGGACGAAAGUCUGAUGGAGCAACGCCGCGUGAGUGAAGAAGGGUUUCGGCUCGUAAAGCUCUGUUGGUAGUGAAGAAAGAUAGAGGUAGUAACUGGCCUUUAUUUGACGGUAAUUACUUAGAAAGUCACGGCUAACUACGUGCCAGCAGCCGCGGUAAUACGUAGGUUGCAAGCGUUUUUCGGAUUUAUUGGGCGUAAAGCGAGGGCAGGCGGUU
rnacentral:rRNA from 1 species